rfam:Helianthus annuus linkage group 5, whole genome shotgun sequence.
AGCCAUGUAGUGAGCACAAAGCGUACUAUUCUUUCGCCUUUUACUAAAGAAUACCAUGUGCUUGUUGCUUAAAGUGGCAUACGCUUAUUUUGGAGAGUCUCUUCUUAUAUUGAAGUGU